AAGGAAUUCCUGUCAGUUCUUGCACAGCAGAUGUUUCUAUGAGACGGGGACUAAAUCCAUAGGUUGGUGUUUUAAUCAUUAUGUGAAAAUGUUGAACGUUUUUCAGAAAUGGUGUAGUGUAGUUAUAUACACAUUCUUUUAUUGCGCUUGAAUCAAAACAAAUUAUUUAGUUCAAAUUUUCUAAUAAUAAAACACUUGCUAUUAAGAAUCCAAUUUCUUGAAGGUGAUUUCGAUAUAUAUCAAUCUAAUUGAUUGUAUAUCAAUACACUUGUGCUUUAAGAUAUUCAGUAAUUGUCUAUUACAUGUUUGGAUAUGAAUGAAGUAACAUUUUUUAUAAUAUGUAGAUUUUAUCACGUUACUUUUAAUAUGGAAAACUAAAGUAAGUAGCUCUGCAUGGAACAAGAACAUUCUUUCAUUUUGUUUUAUUCAAAUGAUGAUGGUUGUAUGUACGUACUAGUAUAUACAAGGUACAUUUUACACUUUGACACGUGGUAUCUAAAGUUAUAGAUGACUGGAAUCCAAAUUCCUUAACUGGUUGAUGUGCCAAUUCAAUUAAAACCGGAUAUGAAGUAAUGUUCAAAUAAAGUUUGUCUUGAACGUCAGACUGGUAUUGAAGUGCUCCUAUUACGUAGGGUACAUCAUUUCCGGCAAAUCUCAUAGCUUGAACAUAAUUAGUUCCAUGUAGAACAGCAUUGUUGGAUUGGUCUGCGUGAAAUAUUGACGGAAGGGACAAAAACAUCAGAUUCGUAAAGAAAUCCAACAAAAUGUUGAAAUUUUCAAAUCAGUAUGUGCGUUUUGAUUUGUAACUAGAAGACUGGGACCCCAAUUUAAUAAGGUCUUUAUUUGUUCAGCAUGUAAGAGAAUAAAUUUGAAAAGCCGCAGUAUAUCAUACCGAAAGGAACUUUUCAACGAACUAUGCCACUUUGAUGUAUAUUCUCCUUUUAAGUUCAAAAACAAUUUGCUGAUAAAGGCUUAUGGAAAUUUCAUGAACAUUUGUCACAUUUAUCAAAAACUGACGAUAACUCAAAUCAAUUUCAUGACUUCCAUGACAACAACAAGUUCGAUAAAGUAGUAUAUUGAAAGCUCCUAUAUACAUUUUGAUUGUAUCUUAUAGUUUAUUUGCCUGUUGGAAAUUUUUUGGCAACGUAAUAACUCAAUUUGUGUUUACC
rnacentral:misc_RNA from 1 species